GUCGUGCGAUCCCCGCAAGGGGAUAGCGGCAAACGGGUGCGUAACGCGUAGGGAAUUUGCCCGAACGUCUGGGAUAACACGGCGAAAGCCGGGCUAAUACCAGAUGACUCUGCGAUGCGGCAUCGCAUUGCAGGUAAAGGUGGCCUCGACCGAAAGGUUGCUACCGCAUUCGGAGAACCCUGCGUUCUAUCAGCUAGUUGGUAGGGUAACGGCCUACCAAGGCUACGACGGAUAGCUGGCCUGAGAGGGUGGUCAGCCACACUGGGACUGAGACACUGCCCAGACUCCUACGGGAGGCUGCAGUCGAGAAUCUUUGGCAAUGGGCGAAAGCCUGACCAUGCGACGCCGCGUGCGGGAUGACGGUUCUCGGAUCGUAAACCGCUGUCGCGAGGGACGAAGGGUCUAUGGGUGAACAACCCGUGGAUCUUGACGGUACCUCGAAAGGAAGCCACGGCAAACUCCGUGCCAGCAGCCGCGGUGAUACGGAGGUGGCAAGCGUUGCUCGGAAUCAUUGGGUGUAAAGGGCGAGUAGGCGGUCCUGCAAGUCGGGUGUGAAAUUCCAUGGCUCAACCGUGGAACUGCGCUCGAAACUGCGGGACUUGAGGGUUGGAGAGGCGAGAGGAAUUCCCGGUGUAAGGGUGAAAUCUGUAGAUAUCGGGAGGAACACCAGUGGCGAAGGCGUCUCGCUGGCCAACUUCUGACGCUAAGAAGCGAAAGCUAGGGGAGCGAACAGGAUUAGAUACCCUGGUAGUCCUAGCCGUAAACGAUGGGGACUAGGUGUUGGCUGCCUUCGGGCGGUCAGUGCCGCAGGUAACCCGGUAAGUCCCCCACCUGAGGACUACGGCCGCAAGGUUGAAACUCAAAGGAAUUGACGGGGGCCAGCACAAGCGGUGGAACAUGUGGUUUAAUUGGAUGCUACGCCUAGAACCUUACCUAGGUUUGACAUGCAGAAAGUAGGGACCUGAAAGGGCGACGACUCGUAUCCAGUCGAGAAUCUGCACAGGUGCUGCAUGGCUGUCGUCAGCUCGUGCCGUGAGGUGUUGGCUUAAGUGCCAAAACGAGCGCAACCAUCGUCCUCAGUUGCCCCCGGGGCCGCAAGGCUGCCGAGCACUCUGUGGAGACUGCCAGCGACGAGCUGGAGGAAGGUGGUGAUGACGUCAAGUCCGUACGGCCUUUAUGCCUAGGGCUACACACGUGUUACAUUGGACUCGACAACGCGCUGCAACUCCGCGAGGAGAAUCUCA
rnacentral:rRNA from 1 species